AUGCUUAAUCUUUCUCACAAUAACUUGUCUGGCAGCAUCCCUAAGUUUUUAGGGACCAUGAAAGGGCUUGCUACUUUGGAUCUCUCAUUCAACAACUUGGAUGGUGAAGUUCCAACCAGCGGCGUAUUUGCCAAUGCAACUUCUGCCUCAGUUGUGGGAAAUGCUUGGUUGUGUAACGGAAUCCCUCAACUGAAGUUGCCACCUUGCUCCAGCAGCACCACCAAGAUCCAAUCUCAGAAAGUUGUCAUCAUAAUCUCGAUAUGCGGUGCAGUUGUAUUUAUGGCAUUAGUAUUUGCAGUAUCCGCAUUUUACCAUAGGAGAAGAAAAAUGAAAUCAAACAUGCAAACAAUACUCAUCAAUGAACAAUAUAUGAGGGUUUCUUAUGCAGAACUAGUCAGUGCAACAAAUGAUUUUGCUUCCGAGAACCUCAUCGGAGCCGGAAGCUUCGGCUCAGUGUACAUGGGAACAAUGAGGAUCAAUGACCAGCAAGUAGCUGCCGCUGUGAAGGUGCUCAACCUCGCACAGCGUGGUGCAUCUCAAAGUUUUGUUGCGGAAUGUGAGACCUUGAGAUGUGUUCGACACAGGAAUCUUGUGAAGAUAUUAACAGUGUGCUCAAGUAUUGAUUAUCAAGGUCAUGACUUCAAGGCCCUUAUCUACGAGUUUCUGCCAAAUGGAAACUUAGACAAAUGGCUGCACCAACAACCAACGGAAGAUGGUGAAGAUAUGGGACUAGAUCUCCGAAUGAGACUGCAAAUUGCAAUUGAUGUAGCAUCUUCACUCGAGUAUCUUCACCAACAUAACCCAGUGCCAAUUAUUCACUGUGAUCUUAAGCCUAGCAAUGUUCUCCUCGAUGGUGAAAUGGUUGCUCAUGUUGGCGAUUUUGGGCUCGCAAGGUUUCUGCAUCAAGAUUCAGACAUAUCAACUGGCUGGGCAUCAAUGAGAGGCACACUUGGCUAUGCUGCUCCAGAGUAUGGGCUGGGCAAUGAAGUCUCAAUCCAGGGAGAUGUGUACAGCUAUGGCAUACUAUUGCUGGAGAUGUUCACUGGGAAAAGGCCAACAGAAAGCAAAUUUGGAGAAGCCAUUGGCCUUCGCAAAUAUGUCGAAAUGGCAUUGGAAGGCAGAGCAGCUAAUGUCAUAGAUAGUUACUUACUACCAGAGAUAGAAGAUUGUGAAAGAAGCACUUCAGAGUCCGACUGGACAAGUAGAGACAUGAGCAUUGCUUGCAUCUCUUCGAUUAUGCACAUUGGAGUAUCCUGUUCAGCAGAGAUGCCAAUGGAUCGCUUGUAG
rnacentral:rRNA from 1 species